CAGCAACGAGUUAUUGGUAUUUCAAAGCCCACAAGUUGCGACAUCGCAGUUCAGUGUUAAGACAGUAAUGCAGCUUACACAUUUAACAAACUUGAGACUCUUUUAGCGUUUAUAUUUUAAGAGCUUUUUGCUAUAAAUACUUGCUGAAAAGGUAUCUUUCUUUACAACGAACUAGACAGAGACAACGAUUCUCACAGUAAGUUUAAACUGCUUCAUAAAAAAAAACUGACGCCAUGUUGAUUCAUUUGUGCUUCUUUGUUUCGGUUGGAUGCGCAGCUGUAUUGAGUCAAGACAAGACGCCGUUGCCACAUACAGAGUUUGAGCAAAAAUUUGCUGCAGCAGCUGAAUCAAUCAAAGAAAGGCUGUAAAAAAUAACGCUACAAAAGAAUUCACUGACCAGUUGUACAAUGAGACUUUGUCUUCGCUAUCUGAAAACACCAAUAGGACGCAGGCAAGAAUUAUUCGAAGUUUUUGGAGUGCUCUUGCGUUAACUCUUAUUGGUGAUAAGAUCGGGAAAUAGAAUAACUUAAGAUUUAAGGAUGUACUGAAUUAAGAGCAUUAAAUAGCCAAUGGUAUUAAGAUCUUUA
rnacentral:sRNA from 1 species